rnacentral:rRNA from 1 species
AUUGAACGCUGGCGGCAUGCCUUACACAUGCAAGUCGAACGGUAACAGGUUAAGCUGACGAGUGGCGAACGGGUGAGUAAUACAUCGGAACGUGCCCAGACGUGGGGGAUAGCUCGGCGAAAGCCGGAUUAAUACCGCAUAAGCUCUGAGGAGGAAAGCGGGGGACCGUAAGGCCUCGCGCGUUUUGAGCGGCCGAUGGCAGAUUAGGUAGUUGGUGGGGUAAAGGCUUACCAAGCCUACGAUCUGUAGCUGGUCUGAGAGGACGACCAGCCACACUGGGACUGAGACACGGCCCAGACUCCUACGGGAGGCAGCAGUGGGGAAUUUUGGACAAUGGGCGCAAGCCUGAUCCAGCAAUGCCGCGUGCAGGAUGAAGGCCUUCGGGUUGUAAACUGCUUUUGUACGGAACGAAAAGGCGCCUACUAAUACUGGGUGUUGAUGACGGUACCGUAAGAAUAAGCACCGGCUAACUACGUGCCAGCCGCCGCGGUAAAAC